GACGAACGCUGGCGGCGUGCUUAACACAUGCAAGUCGAACGGAAAGGCCCUGCUUUUGUGGGGUGCUCGAGUGGCGAACGGGUGAGUAACACGUGAGUAACCUGCCCUUGACUUUGGGAUAACUUCAGGAAACUGGGGCUAAUACCGGAUAGGAGCUCCUGCUGCAUGGUGGGGGUUGGAAAGUUUCGGCGGUUGGGGAUGGACUCGCGGCUUAUCAGCUUGUUGGUGGGGUAGUGGUUUACCAAGGCGUUGACGGGUAGCCGGCCUGAGAGGGUGACCGGCCACAUUGGGACUGAGAUACGGCCCAGACUCCUACGGGAGGCAGCAGUGGGGAAUAUUGCACAAUGGGCGGAAGCCUGAUGCAGCAACGCCGCGUGCGGGAUGACGGCCUUCGGGUUGUAAACCGCUUUCGCCUGUGACGAAGCGUGAGUGACGGUAAUGGGUAAAGAAGCACCGGCUAACUACGUG
rnacentral:rRNA from 1 species